rnacentral:rRNA from 1 species
UACGGAAGGCAGCAGUGGGGAAUAUUGCACAAUGGGCGCAAGCCUGAUGCAGCCAUGCCGUGUGUAUGAAGAAGGCCUUCGGGUUGUAAAGUACUUUCAGUCGUGAGGAAGGUGUUAAGGUUAAUAACCUUAGCAAUUGACGUUAGCGACAGAAGAAGCACCGGCUAACUCCGUGCCAGCAGCCGCGGUAAUACGGAGGGUGCGAGCGUUAAUCGGAAUUACUGGGCGUAAAGGGCACGCAGGCGGUUAAUUAAGUUGGAUGUGAAAUCCCCGGGCUUAACCUGGGAAUGGCAUUCAAGACUGGUUAGCUAGAGUCUUGUAGAGGGGGUAGAAUUCCAUGUGUAGCGGUGAAAUGCGUAGAGAUGUGGAGGAAUACCGGUGGCGAAGGCGGCCCCUGGGACAAAGGACUGACGCUCAUGUGCGAAAGCGUGGGGAGCAAACGAGGAUUAGAUACC